GAAAUGCGAUAAUUAAUGUGAAUUGCAGAAUUCAGUGAAUCAUCGAGUCUUUGAACGCACAUUGCGCCCCCUGGUAUUCCGGGGGGCAUGCCUGUCCGAGCGUCAUUGCUGCCCUCAAGCACGGCUUGUGUGUUGGGCUUCCGUCGCUGGCAACGGGGACGGGCCCAAAAGGCAGUGGCGGCACCAUGUCUGGUCCUCGAGCGUAUGGGGCUUUGUCACCCGCUCCCGUAGGUCCAGCUGGCAGCUAGCCUCGCAACCAAUCUUUUUAACCAGGUUGACCUCGGAUCAGGUAGGGAUACCCGCUGAACUUAAGC
rnacentral:misc_RNA from 1 species